GCUGGAGCUCUACUUUAAAACGCAGAACAGAUUUUUUUCGUAUUUAAAUAUUUUGCUCAUGUUUGUUUAGUUAUGAUGAAGACGGAAAACAGCUGGACAGUGGAUUCCCCGUACAUCUGGAGGCACAAUUUCCUGGCAUUGGGAGAAAAAUAGAUGCAGCUGAUAUGCAUAAUAAUGGGUUCAUCUAUUUUUACCAUCAAACAACACAGAUUGAAUAUGACUCUAGAAGAAAUGUUGUCACAAAUAUCUCAGAAAUAUACCCAUGUUAAUGACACUUUUAUUUUUUUACAUAUACAGUAUUUAUAUAUAUUUAAACAUAUGUCUGUGUAAUAAAAUUCUAUAGGAUUUUUAAAGCCUGUAUUAAAACCA